UGCUUCAAAGCCAGUACCACCUGGGUGAUUC
rnacentral:piRNA from 1 species